AAAUUGAAGAGUUUGAUCAUGGCUCAGAUUGAACGCUGGCGGCAGGCCUAACACAUGCAAGUCGAACGGUAACAGGAAGCAGCUUGCUGCUUCGCUGACGAGUGGCGGACGGGUGAGUAAUGUCUGGGAAACUGCCUGAUGGAGGGGGAUAACUACUGGAAACGGUAGCUAAUACCGCAUAACGUC
rnacentral:rRNA from 1 species